rnacentral:rRNA from 1 species
ACGCACGCUGGCGGCGUGCUUAACCCAUGCCAGUCGAACGGUGAAGCGCCUUCCUUUUUGGUGGGUGUGGAUGAGUGGCGAACGGGUGAGUAACACGUGAGUAACCUGCCCCCUUCUUCUGGAUAACCGCAUGAAAGUGUGGCUAAUACGGGAUAUUCUGGGUCUGUCGCAUGAUGGGUCUGGGAAAGAUAUUGUUUCGGUGGGGGAUGGGCUCGCGGCCUAUCAGCUUGUUGGUGGGGUGAUGGCCUACCAAGGCGGUGACGGGUAGCCGGCCUGAGAGGGUGGACGGUCACACUGGGACUGAGACACGGCCCAGACUCCUACGGGAGGCAGCAGUGGGGAAUAUUGCACAAUGGGCGCAAGCCUGAUGCAGCGACGCCGCGGGAGGGAUGGAGGCCUUCGGGUUGUGAACCUCUUUCGCCAGUGAAGCAGGCCUGCCUCGUUUGUGGGUGGGUUGACGGUAGCUGGAUAAGAAGCGCCGGCUAACUACGUG